UUGACUAAAAAUACAAUGUAUGAAAAUUUAUCUUUAAUAGCAUUUUCCAUAAGCUACUAUAACAAUUUAUUGAUACAUCUGGGAUUCAGCCAGGUCUUAUAGUAUUUAAAUUUAUAACCCCUGCCAUGCUUAGCAUUAAGUAAAUCAGUAUGCAAGCAGUAUUUAAGGCAAAGCUUUAAGAAUACUUUAAAUUUCAUUUGUAAAUACAUAGAUGCAAGACUGUUUCCAUAGGAAGUCACAAAUCCUCAAACAGAAAUAUGUGUGUUCUCAAUGUUACCCUGAUACAGAAAUCAAACUUGGAAGAAAUAUUUUUACAUUAGAAAAAGGACUCAGUAUAAGGUGAAAACAAAAUUCCCAGUGGGCUAGACAUGAACAAAAGUAUUCAUUCCCCAAAAGGCACAUUUCUUUAUAACGGUUUUUUCAAAUCUACCUCCCUAUUUAAUGAAAGCAUAUUCAUUAAAUAUGAAACUAUGCAUACAUUAAAAACCAGGAUUUGUUUUUAAUGUGCUUUAGCAGCAGUAGAUUCUAAAACUGUGUCUUCUUGUCCUCUCAUUAGUUUGAAUAAUCACACUCCCUAGAGAUCAGAGCAUUGAGUCUGAAAUGUCAAAAUGCUAGAGAAAAGAGGGAGUAAUUUUUAACUACCCAGAAAGAAGAUGCACAAAUACAUCUUUUCCUACGUAGGUCACGGCAUAUGUUGGCUUUUAUAAUUUGGGAUUUCUCCUAAUUGAUGACCCACCCUAUUGGGCAGUGAGGCAUAGCAAAGUAUUCCUCAGUUAUCACAGGAAACUUCAAUAAAAUCUUACAUAUUGCUAUGGGUAUUCACGAAGAGGAAAAUGAAGUUGACUUAGAGGAUAAGACUGAUUAAAAGACACUACAAUGCAUAUUAGACUGAAUUGAAGAAGAGAAUGGAUUUGUCUUAUUUUUCAAAAUUUGUUUUCACUUUGCACAUAAACCCUUCAAAAUGUAGAUAACAAAUGAAAAAUAAAGUGGAACCCACUCAAUAAGGUGAGAUUCUGUAAGCAGAGAUGAAGCUUGAUGUUCUUAAUGAAUAGUGUCAGUGUAGAAAGAACAUGAGUGGUAAUAAAAAAUUACAGCUUACAAAAGGGCCUAGAAAAAUGAGGCAGGCCAGACGAGUGGAAAUAGAACACAACAGUUUAAAGUGCUUUGAGACCCUCAGUUAAACAGUACACGUGAAUACAAAAUAAUGUUAAGGCCAUUCAUGGAGAAGAAAUACUUAAGCAAGACAUACCUGGCUUGCUUCAUAGAGAAGAGGUAAGAGAUGGAUUUUCAAUUCGGCGUGCAGCAGCAGGGAAUAUGGCUACAACAACGCUGGCUAGUAUUAGGGCAACACACCUCAAAGCUAACUCACCAUAAACCUAACAUCUUGAUUCACAUCUGCUUGGAGUGAAAAAGUUUAUGAUCAGUCUUUUCAGGAAGGUUUAUUUUAUGGGGGAUUUUUUUGUGCUUUAGUACCCCAAAAUCACAUAUGUUCGCAUACAUCAUAUACACACACAUUGCAUACACAUUUCCCCUUGACUGAUUCGCAUCUUUGUAGAUAAACACUAAAUUUUGAUAAAGAUUAUUUACACUUAUUUAGGCUAUUACUCCAAUUUAAAAAUCAGUGAAAGUUUUCAAUGUUUAGUCUCCUAAUAUAUAAUGCUUAAAUUUGCAACAGGAACAAUACAUUAUCAAAAGCAUUAACCUGUAUUUAGCUUUCAAAUAUACCUGUCUAUAUUAGGCAGUGAUAUCUUAAGAAAUCAUUUUCUCCCUUAUAUUUUCUAAAGUGCUUUAAAAACUCAUUUAAUCUACACAUUUUUCAGAGGUAGGUCGGAAUUAUCCUCUUGUUGCAAAUGAGGAAACAGGCACAGUGAGCACUGGUGACUUGUUUCAGGUUACACAAAAAAAUCCAUGAUGAAAGCAGGGUAAAAGUUCAGAUUUAGUGGCUAACGUGGCACCACACAUACAGGUGUGCAAAUAAAUUAUAGAGCACUGCCUGGGUAGCAUUUGGUGUAGAAAACCUAUUUUGAUUAUUUUGUAUGAAUAAAGUGCUGAGACUGGAUUAGGAAUACAGAAUGGGCCUCCAGUGGUAUCUAAUCCACCUCCCUCCCUUAGGAAGGGUCAGAAUAAUCAAGUGAAUACAGAGUCCUUAUUAGGACUAAAUCUUAUGUCAACUGACUCCCCCCCCGCCCCCCAACCACUGGCAUUCAUACUGGCUUACCAAAAGAAUCAUGCUUAAGGUUCAUUUAAUAUAAAAAUGUAAGACAUCUGAAUCAGGUAAAAAAAAUUAUAAAUCUGAUUGAUAUAUUUAGAGCUAAGAGACUCCAGGAAAAAAAAAAUGUGUAGAGAAAAUUAAAAACAAAUUUAAUUCAAAGAAUAUGGUCUAUUAACAUUUUGUCUGUAAAAUAUUUCAUUGUAGCUGUAUUUGUGCUUAGAAGAUCUUCUAGAUUUAAAAACAGAAAAUGGCAUAAAUCAUAUUCUCAUAGCCACACUCCUUCCCUUCCUCUGCUCAGCUAAGGAGAGGGCUUUCUUUUGAGACAGGGUCUCAUUUUGUCGCCCAGGCUGGAGUGCAGUGGUACGAUCACAGCUCACUGCAGCCUCUAUCUCCUGGGCUCAAGUGAUCCUCCCACCUCAGCCUCCCAAGUACCUGUGACUACAGGUACACACCACCUCACCCGGCUUUUUCUUUUUUCUUUUUUUUUUUCCGAGAGAGACGGGAGGUCACCAUGUUGCCCAGGUUGAUGUCAAACUCCUGGGUUCAAGUGACCCACCCACCUUGGCCUCCCAAAGUAAGAGGUCUUUUGGGAAUUGUAGACGUGCAAUAGAAUAUACUGUUCCCUCUCAUCUGAAGGCUCUAGGAAAAAAAGAAUAUACUGUUCUUUUAAAAAUUUAAGUGAAUGGUGGUCAUGGGUGCAUUAAUGCGAAAGAACUGUACACUUAAAAAUGGUUAAAAUGGUAAAUGUUUAAAAUGGCAAAUAUGUAUUUAUAUAUUUUACCACAAUAGAGAAAAUCAAGUCUUUAAAAAUGAUAGCCCCUAUGUUUUUAUGCUUACCUAAAUAAACCAUAUUUAAUAUUUGGCAUAUAAGCUAAUUUGAUAGAGCAAGAAUUGCUAUGUUUAUAAUAAGCAUGUUGGACUGAAUUUCAUCAUUUAUUAGAAUGUGCAUAUAAGAAAGAUACUUGUAUUUGUAGGCCUCUGAAAAACAUCUAGGUAGGUAGAGAGCCUUGACUCACCUUGCCGAAGGUCCUGAAGAAUGGAAAAAAGAAAAAUGAAUCUUCAAUAUCGGUUUUUCACCUCAGGAAAUUCUAGUACCACAAAAAUA
rnacentral:lncRNA from 1 species